GCCUGGCUGGCUCAGUUAGUAGAGCAUGCGACUCUUAAUUUUGAGGUCAUGAGUUUGAGCCUCAUGUUGGGCA
rnacentral:tRNA from 1 species